ACUAAUUGGCUGACCACACCCAGCCUGGGGAGGAUGCCAGGAGCAUGACAUAGACAGAUAUUCAAAUAGAACAUUUUAUGGAAUACCAGCUAAAAAGACGGGAAAAGAUCGAUGGAUUACGGCAAUUAAAAGUGAUGGAUGGUGCCCAACCAAAUACACACGAAUGUGUAGAGAUCACUUCAUUUCAGCCAACAACUACGCAUAAUACUGACAAACAGAAUCAGAGUGAAGGGACACCAGACAGCUGAGAGGAUCCAAAAAAAUAAAGAAUUAGCAACAUAUCUACUUGACAAGUGUAGCGUUCUCCCUGAGAAAACUGCAGGAAACCACAGGGGCAGAAACAAAGUGAGGGAAGACUGCACAGGUAUGACCAAGAAGUGCAAUCACAAAUAAAGCAUGUGAGUGUGUCCGCC